rnacentral:rRNA from 1 species
ACGGAAGGCAGCAGUGGGGAAUAUUGCACAAUGGGCGCAAGCCUGAUGCAGCGAUGCCGCGUGAGUGAAGAAGGUUUUCGGAUUGUAAACCUCUGUAAACAGGGACGAAAAUGACGGUACCUGUGAAGGAAGCUCCGGCUAACUACGUGCCAGCAGCCGCGGUAAUACGUAGGGAGCAAGCGUUAUCCGGGAUUACUGGGUGUAAAGGGAGUGUAGGCGGGACUGUAAGUCAGAUGUGAAAUAUGCCGGCUCAACUGGCAGACUGCAUUUGAAACUGCGGUUCUUGAGUGAAGUAGAGGUAAGCGGAAUUCCUAGUGUAGCGGUGAAAUGCGUAGAUAUUAGGAGGAACAUCAGUGGCGAAGGCGGUUUACUGGGCUUUAACUGACGCUGAGGCUCGAAAGCGUGGGGAGCAAACAGGAUUAGAUACCCUGGUA